CUACGGGGCGCACCAGUGAGGAAUAUUGCACAAUGGGGGAAACCCUGAUGCAGCAACGCCGCGUGGAGGAUGACGCAUUUCGGUGUGUAAACUCCUUUUAUCAGAGAAGAAAAUGACGGUAUCUGAUGAAUAAGCUCCGGCUAACUCCGUGCCAGCAGCCGCGGUAAUACGGAGGGAGCAAGCGUUAUUCGGAAUCACUGGGCGUAAAGGACGCGUAGGCGGGUUUUUAAGUCAGGUGUGAAAUCCUAUGGCUCAACCAUAGAACUGCACUUGAAACUGGGGAACUAGAGUAUGGAAGGGGCAGGUGGAAUUAGUGGUGUAGGGGUAAAAUCCGUAGAUAUCACUAGGAAUACCGAAAGCGAAGGCGACCUGCUGGGACAUUACUGACGCUGAGGCGUGAAAGCGUGGGGAGCAAACAGGAUUAGAUACCCCAGUAGUC
rnacentral:rRNA from 1 species